GAUGAACGCUGGCGGCGUGCUUAACACAUGCAAGUCGAACGGAAAGGCCAGUGCUUGCACUGGUACUCGAGUGGCGAACGGGUGAGUAACACGUGGGUGAUCUGCCCUGUACUUCGGGAUAAGCUUGGGAAACUGGGUCUAAUACCGGAUAGGACAACUUUUUGGAUAUUGUUGUGGAAAGCUUUUGCGGUAUGGGAUGAGCUCGCGGCCUAUCAGCUUGUUGGUGGGGUAAUGGCCUACCAAGGCGUCGACGGGUAGCCGGCCUGAGAGGGUGUACGGCCACAUUGGGACUGAGAGACGGCCCAGACUCCUACGGGGGGCAGAAGGGGGGAAUAUUGCACAAUGGGCGCAAGCCUGAUGCAGCGACGCCGCGUGGGGGAUGAAGGCCUUCGGGUUGUAAACUCCUUUCGCUAGGGACGAAGCUUUUUUGUGACGGUACCUGGAGAAGAAGCACCGGCUAACUACGUG
rnacentral:rRNA from 1 species